rnacentral:rRNA from 1 species
GUGCCAGCCGCCGCGGUAAGACAGAGGAGCCAAGCGUUGUCCGGAUUGACUGGGCGUAAAGCGCACGCAGGCGGCUCUGCGCGUGGGGUGUGAAAGCUCUUGGCUUAACUGAGAGAGGCCAUCCCAUACGGCAGAGCUCGAGCCAUGCAGAGGUCCGCGGAAUUGCCGGUGUAGUGGUGAAAUGCGUAGAGAUCGGCAGGAACACCCAGGGGGAAACCAGCGGACUGGGCAUGAGCUGACGCUCAGGUGCGACAGCGUGGGGAGCGAACCGGAUUAGAUACCCUCGUAGUCC